rnacentral:rRNA from 1 species
UACGUAGGGGGCAAGCGUUGUCCGUAUUUAUUGGGCGUAAAGAGCGUGUAGGCGGCCUGGUAGGUCAGCUGUGAAAACUCGAGGCUCAACCUCGAGACGCCGGUUGAAACCAUCAGGCUAGAGUCCGGAAGAGGAGAGUGGAAUUCCCGGUGUAGCGGUGAAAUGCGCAGAUAUCGGGAAGAACACCCGUGGCUAAGGCGGCUCUCUAGUACGGUACUGACGCUGAGACGCGAAAGCGUGGGGAGCGAACAGG